AAGACUAUAGACCUGCGGAGUACCUGCGGAAGGAUCAUUAAAAAAAGCGUCGAAACAUCCAUUUUUAAAAACCCACUAUUGAUUCUAACCCAUCGGGUUAGAUGGAAAUGGGUUUUUUCUCAAACUCCAAAAAUUUCAAACUAUUCAUCUUAUGACGAAACUUAAAAUUAAUAAAUAAAACUUUCAACAAUGGAUCUCU
rnacentral:misc_RNA from 1 species